rnacentral:rRNA from 1 species
UACGUAGGGAGCAAGCGUUGUCCGGAAUCAUUGGGCGUAAAGGGCGCGUAGGCGGUGAGAUGCGUCCGUUGUGAAAUCGCCCGGCUCAACUGGGCGGGGUCAGCGGAUACGGUCUCACUUGAGCAAGCUAGGGGGCAAUGGAAUUCCCGGUGUAGUGGUGGAAUGCGUAGAUAUCGGGAGGAACACCAGUGGCGAAGGCGGUUGCCUGGGGCUUUGCUGACGCUGAGGCGCGAAAGCGUGGGGAGCGAUCCGG